UACGGGGGGAGCAAGCGUUGUUCGGAUUUACUGGGCGUAAAGGGCGCGUAGGCGGCCAGCACAAGUCAGUUGUGAAAUCUCCGGGCUUAACUCGGAAAGGUCAACUGAUACUGUGCGGCUAGAGUGCAGAAGGGGCAACUGGAAUUCUCGGUGUAGCGGUGAAAUGCGCAGAUAUCAGGAGGAACACCGAUGGCGAAGGCAGGUCUCUGGGCCAUAACUGACGCUGAGAAGCGAAAGCAUGGGGAGCGAACAGG
rnacentral:rRNA from 1 species